UUAUGCUAGGUUUUGCUAAGUUGUUGAGGAGACUUCAUCAUGAGAUUCAUGUCAUGCUAUGUCAUUCAUGUCAUGCAUACAUGUCAUCCAUACGCUGAACCAAUUAAAAACUAAUUGAAGCUGAUGCAGUUAAAAAAAAAGGACUCGGUGAGCUUGAAGCUGGAGGUUUUCGAGCUGACGCAGGCCUGGAUUGCUUUCUCGGCAACGUCGAGCGUUCAGGCGUCGACUCUCGCGUUCCCUGGACUGAAACUCGGGAUCCUCGACUCGGCGUCGCAUCAUUGGUCGCAUCUUCUCAGCCGCAGCUUCGGCGGGGUGUUCCGGUUCAGCUCGGCGGCGACGCAUCGCUUCUCACUUGGCAGUACGGCGCAUUUCCUGGUCGGGCCGAGAGAGCGAGAGAGAAAUGGGGUGGGAAAGGCAGGGAGACAUUUCCGGCAGCCGUACGGAGGUGGAUGGACUGAGGCCGCCGGCUGGUUAACUCGCUCAGCAGCAAUAAAGUUUUCUCUCACCCUUCAUGUAUAGCCCUUGCCACAAGUCAAGAGGUUAUCUCGUCUAUGGAUUAGUCCUGUGGAACAUUUCACACGGUGGCAUGGCGCGUAUUUUGCUGGCAGCCUUUCAUGGACUACAUGCUCCCCGUCCUUUUUCCAUUCACGCCCAGGAUGAUAUGCAUUGAAAUUUAUGGACAACCCCGCUCCUCCACCAGAAUGUUAUAUGAAAACUCAGACACGCGAAGACAUCCUGGGAUAGCCCACGGCUGGAAUGUGGAGCGGUGCAUGGGCUACAACGAUGUUCAGAACAUCGUCAUGCAAGUCUAGAAUGUCCUCAACAUACCCAGGAUUCACCUGUCUGUCAAGAUGACUUAUUGGGAACAUUUGUGAGCCAGGCAUAGCAAGUAUCUUCAACGACCAUUUUAGCAUGUUUUGAGUGUGUGCUUGCCUUAAUGAAAUAUUCAAAUCAGCACUGAACAUAUGCAGCAGUGCUACUGUUCGCCGCAGGCAUAAGAAAUUAAAGCAAAAAAAAAAGGAAAGCCUCGUGCUUUAUCCACUUUUUUUGAAAGGUCAGCUGGCAUCACGAUGCUGCACUGAGCCACUUCUCUAAUAAAAUUGGCUGCUGUUGCCUGCAACGGCAACCUACGCAUAUCAUUGACUUUGGAUGUCGGCCAAUAUGGCAUCCACUUUCGAACCGCAACGGCGAAGACAACCCACAGCUGACGAUUUCGCCGUUCUGGGACAAGGGCCCCGUUUUGUGGUUACUGCAAGCAGCUCUAGAGUCCCAUCUGACCCUUUGUUGAGAACGCGACCUUGUAGCAUUUAUGCACUUCCUGGGCGCUGAGCUGCUGCCCAAGCUGUUUCACGUCACAUUACAGUUGCCCGCCCUGCUAGUAACAGCGCAAAAUGUAGACAAGGGACGAGACAAGAAGAAACACAAUGACCAGCUGGUCCGGGAGAUAAUUGAGGCGGCCGAGAUUACCAGACUUCGUGACCAAUGCGUUAGCACGCCGUCCUUGUUACUGACAAAAAAAGAACUUGAGCUUUUGCACGUGCAACCGCUAUCUUGAGUGUAUAAAGGAAAAAAAAAGUGCUUGUUUCACAUGAUGUGCGAUCACGUGACUGCGACACGUGAGGGCAAUGUUUAUAAGAAGCCGUGUUUCUUUUGGAAUAAACGUUGUUGAAAGUCA